GAUGAAGAACGCAGCGAAAUGCGAUAAGUAGUGUGAAUUGCAGAAUUCAGUGAAUCAUCGAAUCUUUGAACGCACAUUGCGCCCCUUGGUAUUCCAUGGGGCAUGCCUGUUCGAGCGUCAUUUGUACCUUCAAGCUCUGCUUGGUGUUGGGUGUUUGUCUCGCCUCUGCGUGUAGACUCGCCUUAAAACAAUUGGCAGCCGGCGUAUUGAUUUCGGAGCGCAGUACAUCUCGCGCUUUGCACUCAUAACGACGACGUCCAAAAGUACAUUUUUACACUCUUGACCUCGGAUCAGGUAGGGAUACCCGCUGAACUUAAGCAUAUAAUAAGCGGAGGA
rnacentral:misc_RNA from 1 species